CCAGCCCUGACCCCUGAGACCCGGUGAGAAGACCUCUUGGGCGGAAGUCACAGGUGGUUGUGACCGUCAGCACCAGGUGUCCGCUUGGCCAGGCGAUCGCCCCCAGAGAUCCAACCACGCACACCCAGGUGUGGCUGGGCAGGUGUCUCGCGGAGCUGAGGAACUCCCACAGCCAGUGGCUUUAAGUGCAGAUCAGCCUCAGUAUGCAGGUGGCCUCCUCCAACCAGCGGGAAGAUCUUCAGAGAAGAGCAGGCUUCUCGGAGGAAGAGGAAAUUCUGCUUCAGCUCCUGCCCGAGAUGGCCCUGCGGAUUUCAGCCUCGCCCAGCCAGCCCGCACCAUCGUAUGGCUGCUUUCGCACGGCAAUGGCAGAGCGGAGUAGCUGCAGUGGACUCUCCGUCCUGAAGGGUGUACCUACCGUAUUUGUUAUCUGGACCUCAUGGAAAGCCUUCGCUGACUCCCGGAGAGGGGUUUCAGCCCUGGGCUACGUGAUUCAUUUGCCUGGAUCUCUGGGGUGGAUUUUCCAGUCUUGCCUCACUUUCAUCUUGCAUCACUUUUAUUGUCGUCAUGCUGUGACCUGUUGGCGCCCCCUUCCUCCCCCGCUCAUCCUGGCUGACCUGACUUCCGGCGGGGCUGCUUGGCAGAGCCCAAGCGGUGGUGCAGGAGGCAUCGUCUGGGCAGGCGCCGUGGACUCCGUCAUGCAUUCACUCAGUGAUGCAGCACGUGUACUCUGAGCGUCUUCUCGGAGCCAGGCGCUGUGUCAGGAACUGCGAUGCAGCCCAGACGAGGGAGACCGGGCCGCUGCUGUCGGUGCGACAGGGACUGUAGGCAGAGAUAUAUGAUCAACAAAUGAACGGAGACGCCCGAAGAGAAGUUCAGAGACCGCUGUGUGCUGUGAAGAUAAUAAGGAGGGAGAUGGGACAGAGAGACGGGAGGGGGUGACUGCUUCCCUGGGGUGGUCAGGAGUGGCCUCCUCGGAGGUGGCAUGUGCCCUGAGAGGAGGACGAGAGCGAGCCAGCCAGGCAAUGGUCUGGACCCCGAGGCCAGAGGGUGCCUUCCUGUACUUCUUUGUUGAUGCGCUUGCUUACCAAGCACGUGACACAUUCUGCUGCCAGUCGGGGUGCUAGAAUAUUACAAAGUCAUGGUCCCUGUCAUCAUUCAGGAAUUCACAAGUGGCCUAACAUAAUGGCUAGACCAGAUUUCCAGGGCUGGAUCUUGGCGCCACCACUUAGGAGCUGUGUGACGUCGGGCAAGUUGCUUAACCUCUCUGAGUCUCAGUUUUCCUAACAGCAAAAUGGGGAUAAUAACAGUAGGAUUUGCUGCGUAAUGGUAAUGUAUAAGGGUGAAUGGCAGUGCCUGAUACAAAGAACACCCCAGCAGUUAGCCAGCUUGUGCCCCACCCAGUCCUAGGGGUGAAUUCAUGGACACCUCACACCAGGCUUAUGGCAGCACUACGUAGCGUGUGCUCAGAUAACCCUGACUACAGUAGUAGUAGAGGGAAUACUCGUAGAAGUCCAGGACCACAUGACAAGCGUUCUCCUGGAGGGCUGGUGGUAUGCGGGCAGGGAAAACCUGUUUUGUUUUGUGGGGCAGAAGAGGCGUUCCCAGAGCAGUCUUAGAAAGGUGGGUGGGAAUUCCUCAGAAGGAGCAAGGAGGAAGGGCAUGUGAGGCAGAGGGAACAGCAUGCACAAAGGCACAGUGUCUUGAGACUUCGAAGCUCGUUGGGGGAGUGGAGAAGCGUGCACAGGCACGUGUGUUGUGUGAGUGAUGGGGGCACAUGCCAGCUUUCAGAGCAUCCUCCUGGCAGCAGUGUGAUGGGAGAGGGAGGGUACAGAGGCAGAAGCAGGAGGGGGCUAGUAGGUGUCUUCUCAGACAGUUGGGGUCAAAGAAGGCAAAGAAAUGACCCUGGAAACCAAGAAGAAGGAUGCAUUCGAGGGACAUUUGCAAAUGCUCUCCAGCCAGUGGAAGGGUGGGGCCGAGUGAGCGGGGCUUCUGGCAUGAGUGCUGGUGCAGAGCGUGCUGGGGAUGGAGUUAGAGAAUUCCAGUCAUAUAGCAUCUGGUAGCAUCUCAAGCUGUGCUGUCCCUGGGGCAGACCCCCCGCCCAGCUGCGGGCUCGUCCAGGCUGUCCUGUCCUCACUUGAAACGAUGCUGGUCCAGAUGGAGAUGGGCUCCAAGUGAGACAUCCCCCGGGAUGCAAAGACUUACCACGCCCUUAACAGUCUUCACACCCACUACGCAUCGAAAGGAUAUUGUUUUGGAUUAUUGGGUUAAAUAAAAUGUUAUCACAAUUAA